rnacentral:rRNA from 1 species
GGUUAGGUUAGUACUACUGGGCUACAGGACGAACGCUGGCGGCGUGCUUCAUACAUGCAAGUCGAACGAGAAGCUGACUUCGGUCAGUGGAAAGUGGCGGACGGGUGAGUAAUAUGUAGAGAAUCUGCCCUUGAGUGGGGGACAACAGAGGGAAACUUCUGCUAAUACCCCAUAUGAGCUAACUUGAAAUAGUUAUCUUGAAAACUCCGGUGCUCAAGGAUGAGUCUGCAUCUGAUUAGCUAGUUGGCGGUGUAAUGGACCACCAAGGCGACGAUCAGUAGCUGGUUUGAGAGGAUGAUCAGCCACAAUGGGACUGAGACACGGCCCAUACUCCUACGGGAGGCAGCAGUAGGGAAUUUUGCGCAAUGGGCGAAAGCCCUGACGCAGCAACGCCGCGUGAACGAUUAAGCCCUUCGGGGUGUAAAGUUCUGUCAGUAGGGACGAAUUUUGACGGUACCUACAGAGGAAGCACCGGCUAACUCCGUGCCAGCCGCCGC